rnacentral:rRNA from 1 species
GACGAACGCUGGCGGCGUGCCUAAUACAUGCAAGUCGAACGCAGUGGGGACGGGUGAGUAACACGUGGGUAACCUCCCAUCAGAGGGGAUAACACUUGGAAACAGGUGCUAAACCGAUCCUGAUGGAUGGCCCCGCGGGGCAUUAGCAAGUUGGUGAGGUAACGGCUCACCAAGGCCAAGAUGCAUAGCCGUACGUGGAGGGGGAUCUGCCACACUGGGACUGAGACACGGCCAAGACUCCUACGGUAGGCAGCAGUAGGGAAUCUUCGGCAAUGGACGAAAGUCUGACCGGGCAACGCCGCGUGAGUGAAGAAGGUUUUCGGAUCGUAAAACUCUUUUGUUAGAGAAGCGGUAUCUAACCAGAAAGCCACGGCUAACUACGUGCCAGCAGCCGCGGUAAUUC